CACAAAAUAAUAAAAAUUAAUAGUGGUCCUCCAAACAUAAUUUCAAUAAAUUAUAGUAAAAUUAAGUGUUUUGAACAAAAUUACCCCCUUCAUCUUCUCUCUUGUACACAAAAAACACAUCAUCUCUCACUUUUCCUUACUUACGUACUUUUCUCUCUCAAGCCCUAAUCUUUCCACUGUGCAUGUACCACUCUCAAGCCCUAAUCCUCCCGUUGUGCCGCUAAAACCUUCACUUUGACACAUCGCCAUCGAUAUACUACCAACUACUCCGUUCUCUUUCUUCUUCUUUUUUUCCCUCUCUCUCUUUAACGAGCCCAUCUUCUCCAAUUUUCUUCCUCGCCGCUGUCAACAUCAUUGAAAGAUUGGC
rnacentral:lncRNA from 1 species